rnacentral:rRNA from 1 species
UGCCAGCAGCCGCGGUAAUACGUAGGGGGCAAGCGUUGUCCGGAUUUACUGGGUGUAAAGGGAGCGCAGGCGGGUUAGUAAGUCAGUGGUGAAAUCCUACAGCUUAACUGUAGAACUGCCAUUGAUACUGCAAAUCCUGAGUUCGGAAGGGAGAGGCGGAAUUCCAGGUGUAGUGGUGAAAUACGUAGAUAUCUGGAAGAACACCAGAGGCGAAGGCGGUCUCUUGGUCCGAAACUGACGCUGAGGCGCGAAAGCGUGGGGAGCAAACAGGAUUAGAUA